rnacentral:rRNA from 1 species
UACGUAGGGGGCAAGCGUUGUCCGGAAUCAUUGGGCGUAAAGCGCGUGUAGGCGGCUUGGUAAGUCUGCUCUGAAAGCCCGGGGCUCAACCCCGGGAGGCGGGUGGAUACUGUCAAGCUCGAGUCCGGAAGAGGAGUGUGGAAUUCCUGGUGUAGCGGUGAAAUGCGUAGAUAUCAGGAGGAACACCUGUGGUGUAGACAGCUUACUGGACCACUUCUGACGCUGAGACACGAAAGCGUGGGUAGCAAACAGG